GCGCCUGCGGGGGCUCUGACGCGCGGCCCAGACUCCGGCCGCCGGGACCGCGCCGAGCCACUGGCGAGACCGACCCGCCAGCGG
rnacentral:ncRNA from 1 species